GACGAACGCUGGCGGCGUGCCUAAUACAUGCAAGUCGAACGGACGGAUGGGAGCUUGCUCCCAGGCCUUCAGCGGCGGACGGGUGAGUAACACGACGUCAACCUUCCUGUAAGAUUGGGAUAACACCGGGAAACCGGGACUAAUACCGGAUAACUCUUUCCCUCACAUGAGGGAAAGCUGAAAGGUGGCAUCUCGCGAUCACUUACAGAUAGGCCCUCGGCGGAUUAGCUAGUUGGUGAGGUAACGGCUCACCAAGGCGACGAUGCGUAGCCGACCUGAGAGGGUGAUCGGCCACACUGGGACUGAGACACGGCCCAGACUCCUACGGGAGGCAGCAGUGGGGAAUUUUCGGCAAUGGGCGCAAGCCUGACGGAGCAAUGCCGCGUGAGUGAUGAAGGCUUUCGGGUUGUAAACCUCUGUUGUACGGAACGAAAAGGUACCGGAGUAAACGCGGGUAUCAUGACGGUACCGGAAGAGAAAGCACCGGCUAACUACGUG
rnacentral:rRNA from 1 species